GUAACGGCCCACCAAGCCUUCGAUGGAUAGGGGUUCUGAGAGGAAGGUCCCCCACAUUGGAACUGAGACACGGUCCAAACUCCUACGGGAGGCAGCAUG
rnacentral:rRNA from 1 species